UGCGUAGGUGGUUAUUUAAGUUAUCUGUGAAAUCCCUGGGCUCAACCUGGGCAGGUCAGAUAAUACUGAAUGACUCGAGUAUAGGAGAGGGUAGUGGAAUUUCCGGUGUAGCGGUGAAAUGCGUAGAGAUCGGAAGGAACACCAGUGGCGAAGGCGGCUACCUGGCCUGAUACUGACACUGAGGCACGAAAGCGUGGGAGCAAACA
rnacentral:rRNA from 1 species